AUGCUUGUCAUUUAGAUGGACAUUGGAGAGUUAGAGGGACCAAGGAGACUGCUCGUUUCACGUGACUUGGGCUUAAUCCCUGCCCUCAACGUGCCUACACUCAAACAGUGGAAGAUGUGACUUCAACAUGUACUGAAUGUGGAAAGAAGCUAACCUUCACCGUGGGCCUCUGCUGCCUCAGACACUGUCCGCAGUCUUCAGAUAUUGUCGGAUUUAUUCUCACAGCAACUCUGCAAGAGUGGGAUGGGCAUCCUCAUUCCUUAUGUGGAAAUUGGAACUCAGAGAGGUUAAGUAACUUACCCAUAUUGCACAGCUAGUAA
rnacentral:lncRNA from 1 species